rnacentral:rRNA from 1 species
UACGAAGGGUGCAAGCGUUACUCGGAAUUACUGGGCGUAAAGCGUGCGUAGGCGGUUUGUUAAGUCUGUCGUGAAAGCCCCGGGCUCAACCUGGGAAUGGCGAUGGAUACUGGCGAGCUAGAGUACGGUAGAGGAGAGUGGAAUUCCCGGUGUAGCAGUGAAAUGCGUAGAGAUCAGGAGGAACAUCAGUUGCGAAGGCGGCUCUCUGGACCAGUACUGACGCUGAGGCACGAAAGCGUGGGGAGCAAACAGG